UACGUAGGGUGCAAACGUUGUCCGGAAUUAUUGGGCGUAAAGAGCUCGUAGGCGGUCUGUUGCGUCGGCUGUGAAAACCCGGGGCUCAACUCCGGGCCUGCAGCCGAUACGGGCAGACUAGAGUUCGGCAGGGGAGACUGGAAUUCCUGGUGUAGCGGUGAAAUGCGCAGAUAUCAGGAGGAACACCGGUGGCGAAGGCGGGUCUCUGGGCCGAUACUGACGCUGAGGAGCGAAAGCGUGGGGAGCGAACAGG
rnacentral:rRNA from 1 species